rnacentral:rRNA from 1 species
CAUGGUUGUCGUCAGCUCGUGUCGUGAGAUGUUGGGUUAAGUCCGCAACGAGCGCAACCCCUAUUGUUAGUUGCCAUCAUUCAGUUGGGCACUCUAGCGAGACUGCCGGUAUAAACCGGAGGAAGGUGGGGAUGACGUCAAAUCAUCAUGCCCCUUAUGACCUGGGCUACACACGUGCUACAACGGUUGGUACAACGAGUUGCGAGUCGGUGACGGCGAGCUAAUCUCUUAAAGCCAAUCUCAGUUCGGAUUGUAGGCUGCAACUCGCCUACAUGAAGUCGGAAUCGCUAGUAAUCGCGGAUCAGCACGCCGCGGUGAAUACCGUUCCCGGGCCUU